GUCUUGUUAUUUCCAACCACAAAGCAAGCACGGCAUUGUCAUUUUCAAAGCCACAGCGAUCUGCUUCCUCACGACUGAGCAAAGAAGUCGAUGGCCACUUAAUCUCUGGGAUUACACACACGAGAUUUUAAUAUUAUGGAUUAUGAAGUGUAAAGCUCGGCUGUUUAAUCAGGUUGCCUUAAAAAAAAUGAAGACGACAUAACAUGUUUGUAUCAUUAAUCAGUCUGUGAAAUUCCUUUGCAGAAAUUGAAUCUACCAGAUAUUCUUAUCUGUUCCAGAUUCCUUUGUAGAACCUCACAUUCCCUCGCCAAUUAAGCCUAGCUGAAUAGUGCCCAAAUGGGUGUUUGUAUU